CUGACAGGUCAUCUCCCCCACUUAGAAAUCUUCAAAGCACCCCAACACCCACCAACCCUCACCAUCUCCAACCCAUUGCCUUGAGAUAAAAAUCGAAGCUUCUAAAAGAGAACUCGCAAGAUGCAACAAGAUCAGGUGGCUCAGGAUCCCGUAGUACCCAAUCUACUUCAUCACUGCCUCUCCCUCAGCCACACGCCUGUGGACCCCUCAGGCUUCCCUGGAGGAAAAAAUAGAACGAUUUCAUUGUGUUUUAAGAGUCUCAUCUACAAGUAAUUUCACAGCAUAGUCUCCCAGACAACUUUCUGAUUGUCUUCAUUAUGUUUUUCUUCAAUUAACAUGGAACAUAUUUUCCUAGCUUGUCUGGAGAGUCUCUUGGACUGCAAGGAGAUCAAGCCAAUCACUCCUAAAGGAAAUCAACCCUGAAUAUUCACUGGAAG